CGCAGCUGCCUAAAAAGGCAUGCCUCUCCCCCGCCGCCGCCUCCAGCCAGCCUAGUGCCUCUGAGGGUUACCUGCACAGGCUCCGCCUGGCACCGCGCUCGGCACUCACGGGCACUCAGGCCCGCGUCCGCGGCAGGGAUGCAGGAAUGUGAACGGCCGUGAGUGACGGGGAGGGGAGUCCGGGCGCCUGGCCCCGCGGAAGUGAGUCUUUGUGUACCCCGCUCAAACACACCCUCCUGCCGCGCCAAAGGCCGGGCUACCUGCGCGCGAGGCAGCGCCCGCGAGCCGGCCGGGUGGGGCGCAGGGGAGCGCAGCAUCCUCCCCGGCCCGCUGCUCCCUUUGUUCCUCCCGCUCGGCCCGGCUCCGCGCUGCCGCCUGGCCGUCGUUCCCGGGAGCUUCUCCGAGGCGCCCGAGGGUCGGGGCUGGACUUGGGAGCGGACACCUUCCACUUGGGAAGGUCCGCCCGCCGAGUCGGGUGAAGGAAUUCCCUAGAGGCCCCGGUCGCUCCCCGCCGCCGACCCCUAGCCCGAGAAGGACGGAAAGUUCUCGGGACGGUGGCGCCCGCGGCUGCUCGCCGGGCACGUGCAGACCGGCCGCGGGGGCGGGCGGCGGCCAUGGGCCGGGCAGCUGGAGCCGCAGAUCCGGUGUCCGUCUGCUCGGGUGCGGAAUGUCCAUUCGUCACCGCGGCCCUCUUGCGCUUCCGAGGCGGCCGCAGCUGGUCCCGGGUCCCGGGACCCGAGAUCGCGCCGCCCUUUGUUUGCUGGGUUCCUCCACUGACCUGUUUUGUGCCCACUGUUGACCGAUGACAGCUGUGUUUCACAGGGAACAUUCUCCCAUCUUCAGGAACUUGUCCUUGGUUAGCAGUCGAUCAGGAAGCUCGGUGAGACUGAACAUACAAACCAACAACAUCCAGACCAUAUAUGACGAUAAAACUCUGUUGGGGAAGAGGGAGAAUCCCCCUCCGCCCUUUCCCUUAACAUUCUUAUGGCUGGCCAAAUAAAAGACAGGUUAGCAGGAGAAGAUAAUACCUAGUUUAAUAACAUGUGUACAUGGGAGAAACCAGGGAAACUGAAUUUCUCGACAAAUGGCGAAAGUUUUCACCUUAAAUAGCAUAUUCAGGUAGACAAAGGAGGAUGUUGGGGGCGGGUAGUGGGUUGGAAUUUCAGAAGGGAAGAAGACAAUUCACAUGAAGAGAGAAGUAUAAAUCUUUGUCAGACAGUUCUUUGACAGACAACUUUCUUGUCAGACAACCUAUACAGAAUGUGGCCGGAGAGACAGGAAUUAUAGUAAUCAAGAGUAUGUAGAUUUAAGUCCUCUUCUUCCGUCCUGAUAAGAGUUUCCAUAGAAAAGGUCAUCUCCCCCCUCUUCCCAAUACACAGAGGGAGAUACCUUUACAAAUGUGAAUAUUUGAUAAACAGAACUUUGAAAAGAAUGGGCUUAGUGAGGACCCUGCCAGUCUGUCCAUACCCAGAGUUAUAAAUUCCUUUAGGCAGUUAGUGGGGGAGGUCAAAUGUCUGUCAGAGAAAAUAAUCAAGGUAAAGAGAGAUAUUUUGGGGUGGCCAAAUUUUGAUCUUCCACGAUCAUGACCCAAAAUCUGCAGCAACCAGACCAGGAAGCCAAACCACAGCCUUUGUACAAUCAGCCCCAGUCAGGGCUUGAUAACAGCCAGCUUCUCAAAUUCUUGCCCCCACUUCCAACUUAAGACUGUACAUAGAAAGCCAAAUAUGUUCCCCUAACUAAUCACAUAAGAUGUCCCAUUUCUGGUUAGCGCAUGGUUAUGAGCUGAAUUAUGUCUCUCUAAAAUUCGUAUGUUGAAGCCCUAAAACCCUGUAUCUCAGAAUAUGACUGUAUUUGGAGACAUGGCCUUUUGAGAGGUAAUUAAUUUAAAAUGAAGUCAUUUGGGUGGGCCCUAAUCCAAUGUGACUGGUGUUCUUAUGAGAAGAGGAGAUUAGGAUACACAGAGAGACACCAAGGAUACCAUCUCGCAGAGAAAAGACCACUUGAGGACACAGCCGGAAGAUGGCCGUCUGCAAGCCAAGGAGAGAGGCCUCAGAAGGAACCAACUUGGCUGAAACGUUGGUCUUGAACUUACAGCCUCCAGAACUUUUACAUAGGUUGUGGAGGAUGUCCUAUCUAUUGAAUCCUUGAGAAAUGAGAAGAGGAAAAAUGCAUGCACAUUCAUGAUUUGACUUUUUUGGAGAAUAAUAAUAUCCAUUAAGAACAUUCUUGAAGGAAGAGUUCAGUGAUGUCAGCGUGGGUUGUCCUCCUGCAGGUGGGUUACGUUCCAUAGAUGUCUUCCUGAGCAAGAGAGCAGAAGACCUGUACGUGUGGCCUGGGGCCUCAAAGCCUCUCAAAACAGGUUCCUGAAGUCAAAACUAUUUUCAUAAUAAUACUAGAUGUUAUUUUCCCUUUUUACUCUCAUUCUCUUGUGAGCGUAUGGUGGAGUUUUCUAGAGGCUGUGUGAUUGAUAUGCAGAUGGAUUGCAGAAGCACUUAUGAGAAUUCACUUGUAUUUUAAAUCAGACAUGAAAGCAAUUUGCAAAAAUGUGAAGCAGUGUGAUUCUUCUUCCGAGAUUUUGUUUGGUUUUGUUUUGGAAAAUAUAGUUACCUUUUCACAAAAAUAUGUUACUUGUGUUAAAAUAUAAUAGCUUAAUAUUGUUAUUUUUAAAUAAUUAAAUAUUUAAAAUUUCUCAGUUUUCAUUUUGGUAAAUAUGCAAUAGAUAUAACCCACAUGAAUAGCAGCUCUUGAGGGUCCUCAAUAAUUUUUGAGUGGAAAGAAGUCCCAAGAUGAAAAAGUUUGAGAACCGUGAUGCUAUAGGGUUGGAGUAUAUUUGACCAUGAAAAUGUUCUAAAAUGUGGUGAGAUUCCGUGGCUGGUUGACAAUAGCCUGAGCUUAAACUCCCUCAAUAAUUGCCGAGGACCCUGGCCACUGCCCCUCGGGGCUGCGUGACCUGACUCUCCUGCUGCAUCCCUCUUCCUAACACCACCACUCCCCUGCUCCCUGUGCUCGGGGGCCAUCCUGCCUCGGUCUUGGCUCUCUUCUUUCUGUUGCGUCCGCCAGCUCAUUUCUUUCCAUCCUUCACACCUCGACUUAAAUCUCAUUUUCUCAGAGAAAACUUACUGAUACCCCAGACCAUAUUAAGUCCUUUUAAAAUGUGGCUUCAUGGCACACAGUAUUUUUGUUGCAUGUAACGAAACUGCAACAACACUCAACAAAUAUUUACUGUCUUCUACAUGCCAGGACCUGUUCUAGGUGCCGGGAAAUACCAGUGAAAAAUACAAUAAGAGUCCCAGGCCUCGUGGAGCUUAUGUUCUGGUGCAGAGUUGGGAAGAGACGGACAGUAAGCAAAUAAAUACAUAAAUUAUAUAGUAUGCCAGAUGAUAAUAAGAGCUAUAGAGAAAAAUGAAGCAGGAAAGGGAGAUAGGGAAUGCCGGGAAUGGGAGAGUUGCUAUUUUUGAAAGUCUGAUCAGGGAAAGCCUCAUUGAGAAGGUGAUGGAGCAAAACCCAGGAGAGAAGGAGAAUGGAGAACAGCAGACAGCAAUGAUAAUGGAUGCUAUUUAUUUAUUAAAUAUUAUAAAGAAGUAUAUACUUUUAAAGCAUAACUAUGUACUUUCUGUGGCAUCUCUUUCCCCUGCUUGAAUCAAUGAAAGGAUGUCGUCUCUCGGAUUCAGUGCUCUAUAAAUGUGCUUUAGGUGGAUCCAAAUGAACGCGCUAGCUCUGCCUCCUUUACCUCCCCUUCACUCCUCGGCCCUGCGCCCCACGGCGUCCACCUGGACGCUGUCCUCUUUCUCCUAAAGUCUGGGUGCUCUUCCAGUAAUCUCUGUGGGUUGUUUCCCUCCACUCGUCCUGUAAGUGGAGGCUUUCCUUGGUGCUGGGCUCGGCCUCUCUAGCGUUCAGCCUCAGGGCACUAGCAGCACCUCUAGGAUGAUGUCCCCUGCAUGAGGCACCCACUGCCCUCUUCCCCAGGCCAGCACCAGGCAUGUGUCUGCCUGCUGGGCAUCUAGAACUCCUCAGGCCUACAGUUAAACUCAUUAUCUUUGUCUUAGUCGCUUCCGGCUGCCAUAACAAAAAUACCAUAGACAGGUGGUAAACGGCAGAAAUUUAUUUCUCACGGUUCUGGAGGAUGGAAGUCUAAGAUCAGGGUGCUGGCAGAUUCAGUUUCUGGUGAGGGCCCUCUUCCUGGCUUGGGGAUGGCAGCCUUCUUGCUGUGUCCUCACAUGGUGGAGACAGGAAGCUCUGGUGUCUCUUCCUCUUCUUAUAAAGACACUAAUCCCAUCAGGAGGCUCCACCCGUAUGACCUCAUCUAAACCUAAUUAUGUCCCAAAGAUACCACCUCCAAACACUGUCUCACUGGGGAUUAGCGCUUCAAUGUAGGAUUUGGGGGGACAUAAAUAUUCAGUCCAUAGCAAGGCCCUUACAUAAACUUGCUUCUUCCCCAAGGAGCCCCAUCUCUGUUUUCAAUGGGCAGAGUUUGUGGUCCUGAGGGAAUAUGGGUAAUAACUGUUACCCUGGUGUGCAAUCUUAGAAGAGUUGCCUGGGUGUGUAUACCAAGGGGCAUAGAUUCGUAAGGCUUCUCUUAAAAACAAAAUCUGAAAACAGCCUGGAAUGUACUGGCUUAGCCUCUCAAACUCUAAAAGGAGCAAGGUUUUAGGCUAUCAGUACUAAAUAUGGUUUAACAUUGACAGAAAAAUGAAACAGUGGUGGAUACCAGCAGUAUAUGUUAAAAGGUUAACUGACACAUAGACAAAAACUGAGCCUUAAUUUAUCCUUCUCACCUAACACUAGCGAAAAGAAUUCUAAACUCAAGUCAGGAGGUAGCUUGGUUAAUGGCCUCACCUUCUACUCAGUGACCCAAGCUAAGAAGCUGGAAGUCAAACAUACACAUCCCUUUAUCUCCAAUAUCUAAUUAAAUUAUUUAACUCCUAUAUUUACACCAUCUCUUAAAAAUAUUCCAUUCUGCUUCUAUUGCUUUGGGUCAGAUUCUUAUCAUCUCACACCCAGCUAUUGUACAGUCUGGUCGUCCUACCUCUAAUUUCUCCCCAAUUCAAUCCAUCCUUCAUGGCCACCAUAUUG